UAAAAACCCCGACUUCGGAAGGGGUGUAUUUAUUAGAUACAAAACCAAUGCCCUUCGGGGCUCUUUGGUGAUUCAUGAUAACUAUACGAAUCGCACGGCCUUGCGCCGGCGAUGGUUCAUUCAAAUUUCUUCCCUAUCAACUUUCGAUGUUUGGGUAUUGGCCAAACAUGGUUGCAACGGGUAACGGAGGGUUAGGGCUCGACCCCGGAGAAGGAGCCUGAGAAACGGCUACUACAUCCAAGGAAGGCAGCAGGCGCGCAAAUUACCCAAUCCCGACUCGGGGAGGUAGUGACAAUAAAUACUGAUACAGGGCCCUUUCGGGCCUUGUAAUUGGAAUGAGUACAAUUUAAAUCCCUUAACGAGGAACAAUUGGAGGGCAAGUCUGGUGCCAGCAGCCGCGGUAAAUCCAGCUCCAAUAGCAUAUAUUAAAAUUGUUGUGGUAAAAAAAGCUCAAAUAAGAAACUGGGGACUGGAUGGGAUAGAACAACUCAAUAAUAAAACAAAAAAUGAACAGAUAUUAAAACAAAGAAAACCCAUAAUAAUUAAAGUUAAAAUGAAGUAAAUAUAGUUUAUUAU
rnacentral:rRNA from 1 species